UCCCUGAUGGUCCAAUGGUUGAGACUUUGCACUCCCACUGCAGGGUUGCAAGUUCGAUCCCUGGUCAAGGAA
rnacentral:tRNA from 1 species